rnacentral:lncRNA from 1 species
UUGGUUUCCAUGACGAUGAUUCAAAACGACUGUUAUUGUCUACCGAUUUGACUUUCGAAUAUUAUGUCAAAAUACCCAGGCAACCAAGUGACGUCAACAACGUCGAGGAAACGUCAGUAUUUGGUGGAAUAUAUACACGUGGUUGAACAUUACGUCAUAUCGACGUCUUUUGUAGGUGAUUUUAAAUACGUAAGAUUAAUGACGUUAAAAUACGUUUAAAAGACGUUUUCAUUUCAGCCAGCCUGUCUGACAUCACGAAAUUGGGAGGAGCUUGGAGCUUAAAAGUUACAAAACUAAGGUUAUGUUUUAUGUUUGUAUCGUCGUUGUCGUUUGUUUGUCCUAGAAUUUUAUCCAAUUUUGGAUUCAUUUGGAUUUUGUUGGCUGUUUUGUGUGUAUUUUUUAAAACUUUUGUUUGUCAUUUGUAAAUUUUAUAAAUUUACCACAAUGCAAAGUGACUAUUUAAGGAAAUUAUUAUUGGAAACUCCGCAGAUGUUUUAGAAAGAUAUUCAUUGAAGCUGAAAAUAAUUGGAGAUUUAGAUCCAUAUACAAUUCAGUCAUCAGAAUUGGAUUUUACAGUGCAUUCCAUCAAUUACUGUUAUAAUGCUAUUAUAGAUAGACUGGUAUUAGAGUCUCACAGUUACUACUUUAAGCAGCAAAUGAAAGCAUACAAAAGCCUUCAGACACAUAAAAGCCUUCACAACUGGAUUUGUUUUGAAACAUUUGAUGUUUUGAUGAUUUCUAUAUUAUUGUUGGAAAGGUGAAGAAUUCCCAAAAAGCUAAUGCUAAACCACUAGAUGCUUGGGUGAUAGCCAGUUCCAAUGGCAUAGCAAAUGCACAUUGUUUGUGUAUUGCCGGUAAUAGUGAAGUUUGCAGCCAUAUUGCAGCAAUCUUAUUUGCAGCUGAGUAUGCCCACAGCAAGACAGAAGAAGAAGAACCCAGUGCAUGUACAGAUGUUACAGCUAUGUAUAUUCUCUGGUGAAAAACUAAUGAGUUUUCAAGCUGUUCGGUCAGAGUGCUUGUUGCGCUCUCUCAACGAAUUGAAAUAUAAGACGGCUUUGGCUUCAUGUUGCAGCGAUAUGAAAAUGGUGUCUGUGGAUCUUUUUGUAUGCAAAAAUUUGUAAUAAUUAUUUGAAAUCAUUUUGAGGAUUAUAAGAGUAUGGAAAUAUAUGUGAGAGCACAGACUAUUAUAGUUUUGUCCUAUUUUGUAUCAUUCAAUCGUCUUCUUUAAAAUUUAUAAAUAUAAAGCAGAUAGUUUUCAUUGAAAUUCAAUAUAUUGGGUCUUAUUUGUAUGUAUUCAUUUUUGACUAAAGGUACGAUUCCGAUAACGACUGCAGACAGCAACUGCAAACAUCAGUUGCAGUUCUCGGCGUUAUGGACGUUACUAUUUUGCACUAUUUAUCUGUAUGAGACUGAUUCCGACAUCUGACUGCAACUGCUGUCUGGCAGAACAUCAGUUGCUAAUAAUUAUGCAAAUUAUUAGUGCAAAAUAAUGACGUCUGUCAUGGUGACAACUGUAAUUGCCAUCUGCAGUCGUUGUCGGAAUCGUACCUUUAAAGUGUGUGGUAUAAUUAUAAUAAUUAUAUAUAUUAUAUAACUUAAAUGGUUUAAACUUAAGUUUGUUAUUACAUUGUGACUUAAAUGUUUAAUUUGUUAAUAAAUUAUUUAUUAGUUUA